rnacentral:rRNA from 1 species
ACGUGAUCUGAGUUCAGACCGGAGUAAUCCAGGUCAGUUUCUAUCUAUAAAGGGCUUUUUCUAGUACGAAAGGACCGAAAAAGCAUGGCCAAUACUUAAUGCAAGCCAUCUAAUAAUUUAUGAUUAAAACUUAAUUAAUAUUUCAUCUUCAACCUGUCUCAAGAAAAGAGA